UCAUAUUAGUUUAUUUGAUUACUCCUCUGUCUCGGUGUUUAUGUCUGCUGCUGUGGGUGUAUUUAAUAAUUAAUUUAAGCAUUUAUUUAAUUUGUGUGUUUGGGAGGUCGAGUUGGCUGAGAUGUUUUGUUUGUUCCUUAACCAGUGUUUCAGAGGCAUUUUAUAUUUUCUUUAUUUUAAUUUAUUUCCUAACUCUAAUUUGAUUUAUUUAAAAUGGUGGGGUGGCAAAAUUGGGAAGGGGUAGCAACUAGCAAGGAACAAAUGGAUAUAAUACAUGAUUACAUAUUGUUUAUUAAGCCAUGAAAGGCCUCUCUAACUAUGCUUCCAAGCAAGACAUUCCAAGAGUUGGAGUAUGUUCAAAGAAAGCAGAAACUAAUGAUUUUGACUCAAAGAUUGCACGGAAACAUCCACCUUCAAAUUCAGUUAAGCACAGACAAGUGUAAAAAGAAAACACACUCUAUUUGGAUAAUGAUAACAAAUGUUCUAAAAACACUAAAAAUGAAUAGUUUUAAA
rnacentral:lncRNA from 1 species